rnacentral:rRNA from 1 species
UACGUAGGGGCCGAGCGUUAUCCGGAUUCAUUGGGCGUAAAGAGCGUGUAGGCGGCCAGGUAGGUCAGCUGUGAAAACUCGAGGCUCAACCUCGAGACGCCGGUUGAAACCAUCUGGCUAGAGUCCGGAAGAGGAGAGUGGAAUUCCUGGUGUAGCGGUGAAAUGCGCAGAUAUCAGGAAGAACACCCGUGGCUAAGGCGGCUCUCUAGUACGGUACUGACGCUGAGACGCGAAAGCGUGGGGAGCUAACAGG